rnacentral:lncRNA from 1 species
UGGAUGUGGUAGUGGCUUUAGGGCCUCACGCCCAACUUGGAACAAGGGCCUCACGCCCAACCUUCUCUCAAGGUGACGAAACAAGAUUGCUAAGGAAGAAAGAAGCACUUUUUAUUCAUUCAUCAAUUGAAAUUACAAGAUAUCAUGAGGAGGUAUUUAUAGACUUUCCUCAUGAUUUGAAAUUUAAACACAUAAUGAAUGGCGCUCCACAUUUGAAGGCUUGGUUGCUAGAGAAAAGGAAAGAAAGUUGGCCGGCUUUAAGGGGGAGGAUUUGAAAAGUUGUUGGCUCCCAUUUAAAAUUUUCUUGCAUUUAAAUUGUGGCCGACCUCUUGGACUUUGAAUUUGGGUGACGUGUCAACUUGUAUGAGGUGGCAUGGUGAUUGGUUCUUCUGAUGAGGUGGCAUGACGUUGCAUUGGUUUCUUUGAUGAGAUGAUGUGGUUGGCUCCUUAUGCUUGACUUCAUCCUGAUUGGCGUGCUUCCAUUGGUUGGAGUGGUGGUGAGGUGGCCAGCUGAUAUUGAUGUGGAUGCCGAGGUGGUGCUCCAAGGGUGUGCAAAGGUGGUGGUAGAAACAUGCAACAUGUCCUGACUUGGCUUGCUUUCUGACUUAUUGAGGCUUGCUUUCUGACUUAUUGAAUUUAUUUACAGGACUCGAUCAAA